rnacentral:rRNA from 1 species
GUGCCAGCCGCCGCGGUAAUACAGAGGGUGCAAGCGUUAAUCGGAAUUACUGGGCGUAAAGCGUGCGUAGACGGUUAUUUAAGUCGGAUGUGAAAUCCCCGGGCUCAACCUGGGAAUUGCAUUCGAGACUGAAUGGCUAGGGUGCGGAAGAGGGAAGCGGAAUUUCCGGUGUAGCAGUGAAAUGCGUAGAUAUCGGAAGGAACAUCAGUGGCGAAGGCGGCUUCCUGGUCCAGCACCGACGUUCAGGCACGAAAGCGUGGGGAGCAAACAGGAUUAGAUACCCCUGUAGUCC